GAUUCAUUACAGUGGAAAUGGUAUUAAUAUUUAGCUUGAUUAUUUCUGCCAUAUCAAUUCUUGUUGGAUCUGUAAAUUAUAUUUCCAGAAAUGAAGACUACACAUUUAAUGCAACAUGCCGAAAUUCAUUUGAAUGUAGGGGAAAGCUAAUAUGUUUAGAGGGUACCUGCCGGUGCAGUGUAGAACUUAUAUGGAAUGGAACCAAUUGUAUCAUGAGACAAAUGGCCGGUAUGCAGUGUACUUCUCAGAUUGAAUGCCAAGACGACCUACUUUGCGUGGAAGGAUCAUGUUCAUGUCAUGAAACACAUUACCUGAAG